GACGAACGCUGGCGGCGUGCUUACACAUGCAAGUCGAACGAUGAAACCUAGCUUGCUAGGUCGAUUAGUGGCGAACGGGUGAGUAACACGUGACUAACCUGCCCCUUUCUCUGGGAUAACGCUCCGAAAGGAGUGCUAAUACCGGAUAAUCACACCGAGGCACAUGCCUUGGGGUGGAAAGUUUUUCGGAAAGGGAUGGAGUCGCGGCCUAUCAGCUUGUUGGUGAGGUAACGGCUCACCAAGGCGGGGACGGGUAGCCGGGCUGAGAGGGCGACCGGCCACACUGGGACUGAGACACUGCCCAGACUCCUACGGGAGGCAGCAGUGGGGAAUAUUGCACAAUGGGCGCAAGCCUGAUGCAGCGACGCCGCGUGAGGGAUGAAGGUCUUCGGAUUGUAAACCUCUUUCAGUAGGGACGAAGCGAAAGUGACGGUACCUAAAGAAGAAGCACCGGCUAACUACGUGCCAGCCGCCGCGGUAA
rnacentral:rRNA from 1 species